rnacentral:rRNA from 1 species
CCCUUAGAUGUUCUGGGCCGCACGCGUGCUACACUGAGUGGAUCAGCGGGUCAGGUUGCGCGAAAGCGUUUCCUAAUCUUGAAAUCCGCUCGUGAUGGGGAUUGACGGUUGCAAUUUUCUGUCAUGAACGAGGAAUACCUUGUAAGCGCGAGUCAUCAUCCCGCGCUGAAUACGUCCCUGCCCUUUGUACACACCGCCCGUCGCUCCUACCGAUUGAGUGGUCCGGUAAGGCUUUGGGAUCUGAGCGGAAAGAGCGUUUCGCUCGUUCUGCCCGGAAAACUCAGUCGAACCUUAUCAUUUAGAGGAAGGAGAAGUCGUAACA